rnacentral:sRNA from 1 species
GCCGGGCGUGGUGGCGGGCGCCUGUAAUCCCAGCUACUUGGGAGGCUGAGGUAGGAGAAUUGCUUGAACCCAGGAGGUAGAGGUUGCAGUGAGCCAAGAUCAUGCCACUGCACUCCAACCUGGGUGACAGAGCAAGACUCCGUCUCCA